rnacentral:rRNA from 1 species
GAUGAACGCUGGCGGCGUGCCUAAUACAUGCAAGUCGAACGAGGUGCUUGAGUAGCAAUACAAGAGUAUCCUAGUGGCGAACGGGUGAGUAACGCGUUGGUGACCUACCCCAAAGUGUGGGAUAACAGUCCGAAAGGAUUGCUAAUACCGCAUGUGGUUAUUGGGUUUAGAAACUGAUAACUAAAGGAGCAAUUCGCUUUGGGAGGGACCUGCGUCCCAUCAGCUAGUUGGUGAGGUAACGGCUCACCAAGGCUACGACGGGUAGGGGACCUGAGAGGGUGGCCCCCCACAAUGGAACUGAAACACGGUCCAUACACCUACGGGUGGCAGCAGUAGGGAAUAUUGCACAAUGGGCGAAAGCCUGAUGCAGCAACGCCGCGUGUGCGAUGAAGGCCUUCGGGUCGUAAAGCACUUUUCUGAGAGAUGAGAAAGGACAGUAUCUCAGGAAUAAGUCUCGGCUAACUACGUGC